GGAGAGUUGUCAGAGCGGCCGAAUGAGCCGGUCUUGAAAACCGGUAUGCGGCGAUCCCGCAUCGGGGGUUCGAAUCCCCCACUCUCCG
rnacentral:tRNA from 1 species